ACCUACAGCGGCAGCCCGAGGUGCGGCGUCUUAGCCGGUUUUGUGCAGGCGGGAGGGCGAAGGAUGGGCGGGGCUUCUGUUCCCAAAUUUGCCCCUAAGCGGGGUUGACAGGGCGCAGCCGGGAGAGGCUGAGCUGGGGACAGAGAUGUAGUGGAAACGUUCAUGGAUGUCCAGGUCCAGGGCGCGCUGUCACCGGCCGCUGGCCAGAGCCCUGGGAAUGCGAAGAUGCUCCUUCUCCCCUGCCUUGGAAAGUUUUACUGAGUGAUUGGACUCCACGUUCACAGAUGCUUUGACCAAGUAAUUCAUUAUUUCUUCAGCUUCGGAAAGAGACUUCAGACGGGCAGCCUGCUUAGGGAGCCAUCAAAGCAUGAACUAUUAGCAUCAAGGAAUGGACCACUUUUGAACAUCUAGUCCAGACCUCUCUAGAGACGUGUGAGGACCAGAGAGAUUGGCUGCUGCCCAGGAUCACCCAGCUGCGGAGUGGCUGAGGCAGGAGUGGAACUCAGAGAGCCUGGAUUCUUGAAGAGCACCGCCUUUGUCCUGGGCCCUUCAGGAGAUGAUUUUUACUUGUGUGUUCUGCUGCCCUUCACCAGCUGUCUGACGUCCCCUGCUCUAAGGCCUCUACACUUUCAUGCUUGUCCUGGGCAGCCCAGGGUCACUGCUGCAGUUGCCGGGCACCUUCUUUAACCAGCCCUGAGCAGCGUCUCUUCCCUUCCCUAAAAUUACUCUGUGUCUUGUUAAGGGGUUAACAAACCACGCCUUUCACAGCUUUACCAGAAGCUGUGCUUGAACCUUUCAGCCUCCUCUGAUGUGCCUAAUGAUCUUAGCUUUGUGUACCACUCCAUAGCAUGGGGUAGUUUUUGCUUAUGCCUGAGGUUUUUCUGUCAAAAGUUGCUAUUUUGUGACUCUCCCUGCUUCCUCAGCAUGAUAGAACAGCUUUUACUGGAGAUGCCACCUUUAGUGCAAAAAUAUUAGUCUCUCAACUCUGGGAAUUUCGGGCACCAUGGUGAGCCUAUCCUGUAGAUGAUGAUGAUGAUGAUUGUGUUAGGGAUUCAACCUGUGGCCUUACACAUGCUAAGGAAGUGCUGUGCCUCUACAUCCAGCUCUGAACUAUGAUAUUUUAAGGGAGACUCUUUCAAGAGUUUCAAGUUAUAUCCUGCGUUUUCUAAUAGGACGCUCUGAGAAUACCGUUGGCAUUUACUAAAGCUCUGUGUGGGAUAAACUGUCUUAUUUCAUUGUUGUCACAGAGUCACAGAGUAACAGUCUUGUGUCUGCGAUGAUUCAUGGAGUGUUCCUAGAGCCCGGCGGUCUGCGUUAGGCCCCGAGGGCAUUUGAAAAGAAGGUUGACACCUACCUGUCUGUCCCCAGGCUGCCCCGAGGUGGAUAGGACAGAUGCAACCUGAGGAGGGUCCUUUGUUCCUGGGGCAUAGAAGGCACAUUGUGGAGGAAAGAGAUCCAGGAACCAUAGGCAAUGCCAUACCAGCCCUGCAUCGCUUUAUCUCUAGAAUUCCUUUACGGAAAAGAAAAAUAAAGUUUUAUCUUGUUUAGGCCACUGUUGUUUCUGGGCUCUGUUACUACCUGCCAAAUGCAAAUCUUUGCUGAUAUAGAAGUCCUUGAGGAUUUUGGAGCAAGGGGCCUGGUUCUGUACAAUUGGUGGCUCUGCAAGGACAGACUGGAGGUAGGAGGGAGUGUUCUGGGAAUACCAGGAGAUAAGGUUGGUGGGCAGGUGGGGACAGGUCCUGAGGCAGACUGAGAAUGUAUAUCUUGCACAGGGUCACUGGCUUUUAAAAAAUUUCCCCCAGGACACCUCUGCUAAAUUCCUAUUAUUCCGUGGCUAUUUAAGUGGGUAGUUAUUGAGUAAUUUGCAUUCUGCUAUUGUCAACUGGCCUGAAAGCUAGGGCGAUUGAGAUGAUGGGUGCUCUUUGUACUUUAAAAAGAAGCAGGCGAAAGCUGGGGCAGGGAAAGCAUAUCAGUGUUACAGUAAAGUGAAGUGAUUACGCUUUUUGAAGUCCCUCAGGCAUUUCCAAGGGAAGGAACUUUUGUUACACGGGAUUGUUUAUCUUGUUUAAGCCACUAUUAUUUCAGGAGGCGUUUGAAAUGUAUCCUUGCCUGGAUGGCAACUGUAAAUAACAUUUAAAAAUAUAUCCAGGAGUAACUGGCAGAGUAAAGCUAAUUUCAUAUGCUACAAAGUUCUAAAAGGGGGAAAAUUGUGUUUUAUUAACUUACUGUAUGGUUCAUGUAAUCACAUCGAGCAAUGUCAGUCUCUUCAGAGUGAACUUUUCAUUUUGAGGUUAGGAGAAAUUUAAUUAUUAUUUACAUG